rnacentral:rRNA from 1 species
CCAGUUCGAUCCUGGCUCUGAGUGUACGCGGGGAAAUGGCCUUGGACUAGACAGUGGAACGGUUGCACCAUAAGAGCUUGCGCUUACGGGUAGCGAGUGGCGGACGGGUGAGGAAUACAUCGGAUUCUACUUUUUCGUGGGGGAUAACGUAUGGAAACUUAUACUAAUACCGCAUACGACCUACGGGUGAAAGCAGGGGAUCUUCGGACCUUGCGCGAUUGAAUGAGCCGAUGUCGGAUUAGCUAGUUGGCGGGGUAAAGGCCCACCGAGGCGACGAUCCGUAGCUGGUCUGAGAGGAUGAUCAGCCACACUGGAACUGAGACACGGUCCAGACCCCUACGGGAGGCAGCAGUGGGGAAUAUUGGACAAUGGGCGCAAGCCUGAUCCAGCCAUACCGCGUGGGUGAAGAAGGCCUUCGGGUUGUAAAGCCCUUUUGUUGGGAAAGAAAUCCAGCUGGUUAAUACCCGGUUGGGAUGACGGUACCCAAAGAAUAAGCACCGGCUAACUUCGUGCCAGCAGCCGCGGUAAUACGAAGGGUGCAAGCGUUACUCGGAAUUACUGGGCGUAAAGCGUGCGUAGGUGGUUGUUUAAGUCUGUUGUGAAAGCCCUGGGCUCAACCUGGGAACUGCAGUGGAAACUGGACGACUAGAGUGUGGUAGAGGGUAGCGGAAUUUCUGGUGUAGCAGUGAAAUGCGUAGAGAUCAGGAGGAACAUCCAUGGCGAAGGCAGCUACCUGGGACCAACACUGACACUGAGCACGAAAGCGUGGGGAGCAAACAAGGAUUAGAUACCCUGGUAGUCACCGCCCUAAACGAUGCGACUGGAUGUUGGGUGCAAUUUGGCACGCAGNNUCGAAGCUAACGC